UACGUAGGGUGCGAGCGUUGUCCGGAAUUAUUGGGCGUAAAGAGCUCGUAGGCGGUUUGUCGCGUCGACUGUGAAAACCUACAGCUUAACUGUGGGCUUGCAGUCGAUACGGGCAGACUUGAGUUCGGUAGGGGAGACUGGAAUUCCUGGUGUAGCGGUGAAAUGCGCAGAUAUCAGGAGGAACACCGGUGGCGAAGGCGGCUUCCUGGCCUGUUCUUGACGCUGAGGCGCGAAAGCUAGGGGAGCAAACGGG
rnacentral:rRNA from 1 species